rnacentral:tRNA from 1 species
GGGAUUGUGGCUUAGUGGUAGAGUGCUUGCCUAGCAUGCAUGAAACCCUGGGUUCGAUUCCUCAGUACCA